AUAAAGGGCAUUAAAUCGCCCUUUCACGGCGGUAACACCGGUUCAAAUCCGGUUGGGGACGCCA
rnacentral:tRNA from 1 species